rnacentral:rRNA from 1 species
GAUGAACGCUGGCGGCGUGCCUAACACAUGCAAGUCGAACGAACGGACGAGAAGUUUGCGUCUUUGAUGUUAGCGGCGGACGGGUGAGUAACACGUGGAUAACCUACUUCUAUGACUGGGAUAACUUCGGAAAACCGGCUCUAAUACGGGAGAAUAUUUUGAACCGCAUGGUUCAGAAGUGAUAGACGGUCUUGGUGUCACUUAUAGAUGGUUCCGCGCUGCAUUAGCUAGUUGGUAAGGUAACGGCUUACCAAGGCAACGAUGCAUAGCCGACCUGAGAGGGUGAUCAGCCACACUGGAACUGAGACACGGUCCAGACUCCUACGGGAGGCAGCAGUAGGGAAUCUUGCGCAAUGGGCGAAAGCCUGACCGAGCAACGCCGCGUGAGUGAUGAAGGUCUUCGGGUCGUAAAGCUCUGUUAUUGGGGAAGAACAUAAGUGUGAUAAACUCUGGACGUCUUGACGGUACCUAAUCAAAAAGCCACGGCUAACUUCGUG